CGUGUAUGGUAGGCAGUUUGACUGGGGGCGGUCUCCUCCCAAAAGAGUAACGGAGGAGUGCGAAGGUACGCUAGGUACGGUCGGACAUCGUACUGAUAGUGCAAUGGCAUAAGCGUGCUUGACUGCGAGCCUGACAAGGCGAGCAGGUGCGAAAGCAGGUCAUAGUGAUCCGGUGGUUCUGUAUGGAAGGGCCAUCGCUCAACGGAUAAAAGGUACGCUGGGGAUAACAGGCUGAUUCCUCCCAAGAGUUCAUAUCGACGGGGGAGUUUGGCACCUCGAUGUCGGCUCAUCACAUCCUGGGGCUGUAGCCGGUCCCAAGGGUAUGGCUGUUCGCCAUUUAAAAGUGGUACGUGAGCUGGGUUCAAAACGUCGUGAGACAGUUUGGUCCCUAUCUGCCGUGGGCGCUGGAUAUUUGACGGGGCCUGCUCCUAGUACGAGAGGACCGGAGUGGACGCACCGCUGGUGUAUCGGUUGUCAUGCCAAUGGCAUUGCCGAGUAGCUAAGUGACGG
rnacentral:rRNA from 1 species